CUCUCUCCGCAGACCUCAGCCG
rnacentral:miRNA from 1 species